rnacentral:rRNA from 1 species
AUUGAACGCUGGCGGCAGGCCUAACACAUGCAAGUCGAACGGAGUGGCGGACGGGUGAGUAAUGCCUAGGAAUCUGCCUGGUAGUGGGGGAUAACGACCGGAAACGGGCGCUAAUACCGCAUACUAUCAGAUGAGCCUAGGUCGGAUUAGCAAGUUGGUGGGGUAAAGGCCUACCAAGGCGACGAUCCGUAACUGGUCUGAGAGGAGGAUCAGCCCCACGUGAACUGAGACACGGUCCAGACUCCUACUGGAGGCAGCAGUGGGGAAUAUUGGCCAAUGGGCGAAAGCCUGAUCCAGCCAUGCCGCGUGUGUGAAGAAGGUCUUCGGAUUGUAAAGCACUUUAAGUUGGGAGGCGUUACCAACAGAAUAAACACCGGCUAACUUCGUGCCAGCAGCCGCGGUAAUAC